UCGUAAAGAAUGCCACUUCCAUCCUUCUAUGCAGGAUAACUUUGUUAAGACCUGUAGAAACUUUCAAGUGAUAAGUUGUCCAGAAAAUAGCAAUAUACUUUCAUGUACAUUUUUCCUAUAUCAUCUUACUGUUAAAUUGUGUCCGACUACAACGUGCUACUUCGAAACAUUUACCUGUCAUUAUAUUGAAAAAUCUUUAUCGAUCCAUUAAGUUAGUGAAAGUUAUCAAAUUUUGUAUUGUAUUGGAUUACAAAUGUGGAAUGUGGAAAACCUUUUGUUUGUUAAUAUGGAAUGAACUACUCCAUUUCUGCUCAUAAACACAAAACACACAACCAGUCAUAAAUUUCAAACUUGAUCUCUAAAACUUAUUUUAAAAAAUGAACCUAAAAUGGUAUAAGCUAUUAUAACUUUUGGUAAUCGAAAAUCAUCAAAAAGGAGCGACCACUCUUACCUGUUAUAAAGGAAGUUAAAUAUAACAUGAAAUCUAGGAUGUGUCGCAUGAAUCUCCACCAAUUUAGUCUUCCUACUGCACUGCCCAAAUCAUAAUGAUAUUCAAAACUAAUCAAAAACCUCAUCACAGAUAACAAAUGUAUAUAUGAAUAUAGAAUGAAGAGAAUAAGUGAAAUCAAAUAGCCAGAAACACUGCACAAUCUGAAAUUAGCAAUAACAUGUGAUUUCUACCAAACCAACUGUCAUUUCUGGUGACCCAUUUCAACAAAGCUUCUGCCAAAGCUUCAUGGUUGUCUUCUUCAUGCCAAAGCUUCUGUUUAUCUACCAUUUAAUCCUUCCUAGGGGAUACAUACAUAUAUAUAUAUAUAUAUAUAUAUAUAUAUAUAUNNNN
rnacentral:lncRNA from 1 species